rnacentral:rRNA from 1 species
UGGGGAAUAUUGGACAAUGGGCGCAAGCCUGAUCCAGCCAUGCCGCGUGAGUGAUGAAGGCCCUAGGGUUGUAAAGCCCUUUCACCGGUGAAGAUAAUGACGGUAACCGGAGAAGAAGCCCCGGCUAACUUCGUGCCAGCAGCCGCGGUAAUACGAAGGGGGCUAGCGUUGUUCGGAUUUACUGGGCGUAAAGCGCACGUAGGCGGACUAUUAAGUCAGGGGUGAAAUCCCGGGGCUCAACCCCGGAACUGCCUUUGAUACUGGUAGUCUUGAGUUCGAGAGAGGUGAGUGGAAUUCCGAGUGUAGAGGUGAAAUUCGUAGAUAUUCGGAGGAACACCAGUGGCGAAGGCGGCUCACUGGACCAUUACUGACGCUGAGGUGCGAAAGCGUGGGGAGCAAACAGG